UUAUGAACGCUAUUUUAUUUGCAAUGAAGAGAGAAAUUUCACCUCGAAAUGCUGCUUUUACAAAAGCAGAAUGAUUAAAAGAGAGAAAAAGGAAAAUGC
rfam:Monodelphis domestica cont3.057538, whole genome shotgun sequence.